GACGAACGCUGGCGGCGUGCCUAAUACAUGCAAGUCGAACGGAAAGGCCCUGCUGUUGUGCGGUGCUCGAUUGGCGAACGGGUGAGUAACACGUGAGUAACCUGCCCUUGACUUUGGGAUAACUUCAGGAAACUGGGGCUAAUAUCGGAUAGGAGCUCCUGCAGCGUGGGGGGGGGUGGAAAGUUUAGGCGGUGGGGGAUGGACGCGCGGCUUAUCAGCUUGUUGGUGGGGUAGGUGUUUCCCCAGGCUUUGACGGGUACCCGGCAUGAGAGGGUGACCAGCCACCUUGCUACUGCGGUACGGCCCAGUCUCCUACGGUAGGCAGCGGUGGGGAAUCUUGCACAGUGGGACGCAGUGUGUUACGGCAGCGCUGCGUGCGUGAUGCCCGCCUUUGGGUUGUGAACCGCUUUAGCCUGAGACGAAGCGUGAGUGACGGUACUGGGUAAAGAAGCACCGGCUAACUACGUG
rnacentral:rRNA from 1 species